GUCCACGCUGUAAACGAUGUGCACUAGGCGUGGGGCCCGUACGGGUUCUGUGCCGUAGCUAACGUGAUAAGUGCACCGCCUGGGGAGUAUGCUCGCAAGGGUGAAACUCAAAGGAAUUGACGGGGGCCCGCACAAGCGGUGGAGCAUGUGGUUUAAUUCGAUGGUACACGAGGAACCUUACCAGGGCUUGACAUGUGCAUGGAUGUCCAAGAGAUUGGGCAGCCCCGCAAGGGGCGUGCACACAGGUGCUGCAUGGCUGUCGU
rnacentral:rRNA from 1 species